rnacentral:rRNA from 1 species
GUUGGGCACUCUGAAAGAACUGCCAGUGAUAAGCUGGAGGAAGGUGGGGAUGACGUCAAGUCCUCAUGGCCCUUACGUGUUGGGCUACACACGUGCUACAAUGGCAUUUACAAUAGGAAGCAAGAUGGCGACAUCAAGCAAAUCCUAAAAAGAUGCCUCAGUUCGGAUUGUACUCUGCAACUCGAGUACAUGAAGCUGGAAUUACUAGUAAUCGCGGAUCAGCGCGCCGCGGUGAAUACGUUCCCGGGUCUUGUACACACCGCCCGUCACACCAUGGGAGUUGGUUCUACCUUAAGGCAAGGUUUAAAACCCUUGACCACGGUAUAGUCAGCGACUGGGGUGAAGUCGUAACAAGGUAGCCGUAGGGGAACCUGCGGCUGGAUUACCUCCUUU